CCCUUAGAUGUUCUGGGCCGCACGCGCGCUACACUGACGAAUGCAACGAGCUUAUAACCUUGGCCGAAAGGUCUGGGUAAUCUCCAAAUUUCGUCGUGAUGGGGAUAGAUUAUUGCAAUUAUUAAUCUUCAACGAGGAAUGCCUAGUAAGCGCAAGUCAUAAGCUUGCGUUGAUUACGUCCCUGCCCUUUGUACACACCGCCCGUCGCUACUACCGAUUGAACGUUUUAGUGAGGUAUUUGGACUGGACCUUCGGAGGUUCGCGCCUCCGUUGCUGUUCGGGAAGACUCCCAAACUUGAGCGUUUAGAGGAAGUAAAAGUCGUANCA
rnacentral:rRNA from 1 species